UGAGGAAUAUUGGUCAAUGGUCGAGAGACUGAACCAGCCAAGUCGCGUGAAGGAUGACUGCCCUAUGGGUUGUAAACUUCUUUUACAAGGGAAUAAAAUGAGAUACGUGUAUUUUAUUGCAUGUACCUUGGGAAUAAGCAUCGGCUAACUCCGUGCCAGCAGCCGCGGUAAUACGUAGGGCGCGAGCGUUGUCCGGAAUUAUUGGGCGUAAAGGGCUCGUAGGCGGUUUGUCGCGUCUGCUGUGAAAGACCGGGGCUUAACUCCGGGGUUGCAGUGGGUACGGGCAGACUAGAGUGCGGUAGGGGUAGCUGGAAUUCCUGGUGUAGCGGUGGAAUGCGCAGAUAUCAGGAGGAACACCGAUGGCGAAGGCAGGUUACUGGGCCGUUACUGACGCUGAGGAGCGAAAGCAUGGGGAGCGAACAGG
rnacentral:rRNA from 1 species